rnacentral:lncRNA from 1 species
UGAAGGCCAAGUUGGCACUUUGAUUACAGCCAUCCCCGACUAUAGCACUAGAAUUCUGACUUCCUUACUGGGAUUUACCCAAGGAGGAAGGUGACGUGACUCAUCUGCUUCAAACAUAAAGGAGAGAAACUACUUUAUCUACACCGAGAAACUCUAUCCACUGAGGCACAACAGUAGUUUCAAAUGGAGCAUUCUUUAAAUCAAACACAUUGAAGAUAUUAUUGGAUGUAAAACCAUGAAACUUAAUUUACAUUCCCUGCUAUAGACAUUAGCCUUCUUUAAUUCUUCUUGCCAUUAUAUACAUAUUUUGGCUCCAGACUAAGCACCAACUUAAGUCUUCAAGGAGGAAUAAAACUUAGCAAGAUUCUGGCUUGCAAAUCUUUUCUCACCUCUCUGCAAGGCUGAGUACCAGGUGGUUUGACUUUCGGUUUCAAAUGUUGGCAAAUGCAGCUUUUGACUUCUCCAAAAGCUUUCAGAUACUCAACCUCAUUUUCUUUGACUUAUAGUCACUAGCAGAUAUUUAAAUUAAAAGAAUAUGUAGCCUUGCUGCCAGAAGAGCAAAGGAGUCCAUAACUUAUAAAUCUGCAGUGUGUUCCUCCUUGGUAGUGAUAUUGGCCAGUGCUUAGUUUUAGGCCAACAUAUACAAAUAGAGUAUUGAUUUGUACGCAUUCUGGAGACUUGCUAUGUCAUAGUUUGCUAUAGCCCAGACUCAGCUUAGCAUGGGAAUGCUUGGGACUUCACUGAGAGUGGAGUGGCUGCUGCAAUCUUUGGCAUUGCCUUGUAAUUAGGGACUUCAUGAGCAACACCUUAACGAGGGUACCACAGUGCGGUCUCUGUGUGCAUAUACAGAACUCAUGUGCAGGAUAAAUGUGUGCACCAAGCAAACCUGAAACUUUAUGUGACUGUCAAAUGACUAUUAUUUGGGUUAAGAUUUUUUUUUCAUUUCUGAUUUGGAUAGAAAAUUGCUAUUAAUCUUGUAUUAAAAUAGUUUUUAAAAAUCU